rnacentral:rRNA from 1 species
AGAGUUUGAUCAUGGCUCAGAACGUACGCUGGCGGCACGCCUAACACAUGCAAGUCGAACGAAGUAGCAAUACUUAGUGGCAGACGGGUGAGUAACAUGUAGGUAUCUGCCCUUUGGCCUGGAAUAACACGAGGAAACUUGUGCUAAUACCGGAUAAGUCUUUACGGAGAAAGCUUUAUGCACCAUUGGAUGANCCUGCACUUGAUUAGUUUGUUGGUGGGGUAAUGNCCUACCAAGACUGUGAUCAAUAGCUGAUUUGAGAGGAUGAUCAGCCACAUUGGGACUGAGACACGGCCCAAACUCCUACGGGAGNCANCAGUGGGGAAUCUUGCACAAUGGAGGAAACUC